ACCAAGAACUCCAACUCCCUCUUGUUCUCAAGCUCUGGGCUCCCACAGAACACCAGGAUUCUUGUGCCUUUCCCGAGAAACAUCAAAAAAGUUUUUCUGCAUAGUGGAACAGCUUCAGUCAGAGAAACAACAGAUCACACCCCACACACUCUGCUCCAGCUCCUGCUCAUGUCCCAGCAUCACAGCUGUUGGGCCUCUCCUAUGGAGGAUAGGAGAUCCUUACACUGUGUCCUGGAAAGCAGUCCCAUUCAUUCCUGAACAGAAGAGCUACAAAUGCUACAUUCCCCACUAUUCACAGAGAAGUGGCUGUUUCUCAAGCUGCCAGGAUACUGUCAGUGACCAAAUUUCUCAGCUGAGAAUAUUUCUGUUAUUCAGAAACGGGAAGUCUUGUGAUUGAGUGCCUUUGAGAGCCAUUUUGUCCAGCACAAAGUAGCUCUUUGGAGCUAAGCUGUGCCACUGCAUCCAGCAAUUAUUAAGGUAUUUCCCUAGUGCACUGAUAUUUUGAAGCUAGGCCUGAAUGCUCCUGAGUCACACUAUGGAGCUCCAAACCUCUGCAUCUUCAUUGAAACAUUACCUUCCCUUUCACACAAAAAAUAUUUGGUUCUUGAACAGCCACUCUUCACAGGCACCUGCCUGGGCCCUCCGUCCCACUGAGGUCACUGAGCCACUUACAGUCCUGUUAGGGAAUCGUCACCAAAAACUGUUGACCCAAACCCCUGUGGGCCAUGCUGGUGUUUAGGUCUCAAAGUCUUUGCCUUUCAGAUGUAAGACAGGAAGCUACAGAGCAGCCUGAGGCAGUGAUGCUUUCUCCCAUGGCUCUUGUACCGCAGAGCCAGAGGUUGUACCAUAGAGCCACAAAAUCACAGAUUUGUUUAGGCUGGAAAAGGCCUUUAACAUCAUCAGGUCCAACCACUCACCUAUCACUGCCAUGUUCACCACAGUAUCAUA